rnacentral:rRNA from 1 species
AUUGAACGCUGGCGGCAGGCUUAACACAUGCAAGUCGAGCGAGCGGCGGACGGGUGAGUAAUGUCUGGGAACCUGCCUGAUGUAGGGGGAUAACUACUGUAAACGGUAGCUAAUACCGCAUACCAUCAGAUGUGCCCAGAUGGGAUUAGCUAGUAGGUUGGGUAAUGGCUCACCUAGGCGACGAUCCCUAGCUGGGCUGAGAGGAUGACCAGACACACUGGAACGGAGAAACGGCCCAGACGCCUACGGGAGGCAGCAGUGGGGAAUAUUGCACAAUGGGCGCAAGCCUGAUGCAGACAAGCCGCGUGGGUGAAGAAGGCAUUCUGGUUGUAAAGGAAUUUCAGCGAGGAGGCGUUACUAGAAGAAGAAGCACCGGCUAACUCCGUGCCAGCCGCCGCGGUAAUAC